rnacentral:rRNA from 1 species
UACGUAGGGUGCGAGCGUUAAUCGGAAUUAUUGGGCGUAAAGAGUGCGUAGGCGGUUCGUUAUGUCUGCUGUGAAAGCCCCGGGCUUAACCCGGGAAUGGCAGUGGAAACUGGCGGGCUUGAGUGUGGCAGAGGGGGGUGGAAUUCCGCGUGUAGCAGUGAAAUGCGUAGAGAUGCGGAGGAACACCGAUGGCGAAGGCAGCCCCCUGGGCUAACACUGACGCUGAGGCACGAAAGCGUGGGUAGCAAACAGG